GAUGCACAUGAUGGUAAUUGCGAUCAAAGCAUGAUAUUUAUGAUUACACUUUUUUCAGUGCUGAUGCAUC
ensembl:snoRNA